GGUGAGUUGGGUAGACUGUCCCAUGAUGAGGAUGUCGUCUAAGUAGAUUAUGAGACGUACUCCUCGACUUCUUAGUAAGGCGACUACUGGCUACAUAAGUUUGGUGAAGCACCAUGGGGCUGAGGACAGUCCGAAUGGGAGGCAGGUGAAUCUCCAUUUUCUUCCCUGCCAUAUGAAUUGCAGGAAAUCUUGGUGUUGCAGGGCAAUCGGCACUGUAAGAUAAGCGUCUUGAAGAUCUAACUUCACCAUCCAAACUUCACCAUCCAAUCCGAUGGUUGUAAGAGAUCUCUUAGACAAUGUAUCCCCUCCAUUUUGAAAUGGUUGUAGGAUACGUAAGCGUUGAGUUGUUUCAAGUUGAUCACUGGGCGGACACCACCAUAGCCUGUUGUGGUCAUAGGGAUUUCUGAUAUGGCCUGUUUACUUUCUAAGUUCCGAACCUCCUUGGUGACAAGGGUCGCGUCUUGUUGGGAAAAACGGAUUUCCCGUGGUGAGGAAUGUUGUAUUGGUAUAGACAGAAAAUCUAUUAUGUACCCUUUUAUAGUGUUCAGUUCCCAAGCAUCUGAUGAAAUGUGAGACCAUACUUGGAAAAAAUGACGGAGUCUGCCGCCCACUGCCCGUAGGGAAGAAAGAAGUUUGAGAGGACUUACCAUAAGGUCGUCGUCCUGAGUGAGCACUUCGUGGUCCUCGAGCAACCCAUGGCCACCCACGUUGUGGAACUAAAAACAGCUCAGGAAAGCCAAUAUAGAGACAUCAGCAGGACACUAGAGUGAGAGUAAAAUCCAUCUGAAACUAAUAGCUAUUAACAAGUUAAGGAGUAGUUAUUAAUCACAAUAUUAUACAAAAUAAUAAUCACAAAUAUAAAUGCAAUAAUAAUAUAAGAAAUAUCGCCCCACAGUUAAGAAAUCAGGGGACUUGAUGUUACUUAACUGAGGGAGCAGCAAAGAAAGAGGAGUAGGAUUGGUUGACAGAGCCUAUUAUGCUGGAGAGAAGAACCUGAUUGGCUUGAGAUACUACUCUCAGACUGUUAAUGUUAUGUACUGGUUAUGUUUUUUAAAAAAUUUCUUUGCUGCUGAGGUAAAUAAAGAAAGAGUGCAGCAUAAUAAUACUCGCC